AUGACCCAGGUGGCUCCAGGUCCAGCUGACAUGACAGCGCUGGUCCCUCCUCCUGCGCCAACACUGCUCGCCAACAGGCACGCAUCUCCUUCUCGAUCACCAUCCAAUCACAGAAGCCCUCCAGGCUCCCAGCUGCAUUUAGCAAAAGAGCAAAGCAACGACGGAGAGAAAAUUCGAGAGCUGUCGGAGGUGCUGCGGGAUAAAGAGCGUCGCAUUCAACAGCAACUGGAACGCUGCGCAGAGGAGCGAGGGAGGAAGAUGGAGGAGCAGAGGAGGAAGGAGCAGCAGCGCAAGGCGGCGGCUGUGGAGAAGAGACGAAAACAGCAAGAGGCGGAAAAGGAGAGGCUGGAGGCCAUGGUACGCCGAAGAGCCGGGGCCCUGAAAGACGAGGAGGGGGAGGUGGAGGUGGAGGAGGAGAAGCCCGGGAGCACCUGGAUAACAGGCCUAAACGGUGGACAUGGGGAGGACCGCCUGAUGGAGUGGAGGGUAACCCUAAGACCCCACCCUGCCAUGCCAUUGGCUCCGCUCAGCCCAAUGAGCUUCCUGCUGCUUCCAGUGCCAGCCAGUCCCGUAACGCGGUUGACUUCCUGUCUCCACCAACUGAUCAGCCAAUCAACAAACAGCUUUCCAACUCUUCAGCUGCUCUUCACUCACCGGACGGAGUGUCUUUUGUGUCCCAUCGAACAGCUUCAUCCAACAACCACAAACUAA
rnacentral:lncRNA from 1 species